rnacentral:lncRNA from 1 species
CUUAAUGGAACAACUAAUUAAAUAUAAGAAAGGCAAACUCCAGGAGGCCGGGGGACAAAGCUGAAAUCUACAGUGUCAGCAUUAUAAAAUAAUUUGGAAUGCAGGGGCAUAAAUGAAAGUAUAAAACAUGGAUGAAAGCAAUCACUGCGGUCAGAAGCGUGUUUGAAAGAUUAUAAAGAAAAUAGCAAAAAGGGUGAAGUCUAAGAUUAAGAAUUAACACAUUAACACUGCAGUCCUAUAUCAGAUGAUUAGUGAUUACUAAUCACAUAUUACUGACUUGUAAAAACUUAAGGGGGCAUGCUACGCACCAUAACCACUACAACACAGUUUGGACACCGCAGUCCUUUAGUUAGAGGAUCCAAGUUUUACAUUUGUAUGUCUAGACUUGCUCGAAGGGUUUGCCUAGUGAUACCCUAACUUGGAGCCACAUUCUCCUCAUCCUAUAGCAGUGUACUAAACAUCUGGGUGCAUAUUGUUGGUGUGUCUGAGUGUAUAACAGAACUCCACAGUGAUAAUACUCCCAGUAAUGUGUCUGAGUGUAUAACAGAGCUCCACAGCAAUAAUACUCCCUGUAAUUUUAUUUGGUGUAUAACAGAACUCCACAGCAAUAAUACUCCCAGUAAUGUCUUUAAACUACAAUAAAUGUGUUUAGAAAUCAGUCUGUGUAAAUAAGAUACAUUGUUCUUCUUCUAAAUUACAUUUUAGUUACAUAAAUUAUUAGUAAGUCCCUGAACAUUUCUCAGAACAGCCUCAUCCCUCACCACAUCCCCAUCCAUACUCCUAAAAAGAGUCCCUUUUCGUCCAUUUGAAAUGUUGGAUAGUAUGUUACUGAGUAGGAGGGUGCAGAAUGUACGGGAGAACAGGAGGAUCAUUGUUACACUUGGUUGUUACUAUACAAUUAUAAAUGAGAUAAUUGGUGUUAAAAUAAACAAGUCCGGAAUAUGAAGUUUGAGACUAUUAUUUUAGAGGAAGCAGGAGAAAUAAAGUUCUUACCUUUUUCUUAUUUCUGCUCUUAACCAGAGAGAUUGGAAUUAACAGCUUGGUGAUGGCCACAAAUGCACUAAUCAAAUGACACAAUCACCCAAUAGAAUGCUUCUCAUAAAAGAUAAUUAGAUUAUUCACUAAACACAGAGCUUUGUCAGGAUGGACAAACUCCAGUGAAAAUUUACAAAUUUCAAACAGAAUGGCAAUUCUCAGGUUUCCAAUUAGAAAUUCAAGUUAGAAUUUGGUUGAUUUGACCAAAUAUGUAACUGGCCGGUCGCAUUUGAUAUCCGGAUGAAAAUCAGUAUACAAAUUAUAGGAUUUGGAAUAUUCAUAAAGUAACGAUUUUACAGAAAUUUAGUACCGAAUGCAUUUUGCAAGAGAACAAUCAUUUUAAGUACUAUUUGCCUGCUGGCUGCACUAUAUACUAAACAUUAAAAACUAGCAACUGGGCAAUCAUGGUGCUGCAAACAAAGCAUGUCUAUUCUAUGAAUGUGCCUCAUUUCAUUCACUCCUCUUCAUUACAUUUCAAAUUAAUUUCAGAUCUGCAAUACUAACUAAAGAUGCUGGUAGU